GGACAGUUAGCUCAGUGGUAGAGCAUCGCCUUCACACGGCGGGGGUCACAAGUUCGAGCCUUGUACUGUCCACCA
rnacentral:tRNA from 1 species